UACGGGGGGAGCAAGCGUUGUUCGGAUUUACUGGGCGUAAAGGGCGCGUAGGCGGCCACUGCAAGUCGGUUGUGAAAUCUCCGGGCUUAACCCGGAAAGGUCAACCGAUACUGCAGGGCUAGAGUGCAGAAGGGGCAACUGGAAUUCUCGGUGUAGCGGUGAAAUGCGUGGAUAUCGAGAGGAACACCUGCGGCGAAGGCGGGUUGCUGGGCUGACACUGACGCUGAGGCGCGAAAGCCAGGGGAGCGAACGGG
rnacentral:rRNA from 1 species